UCCAAUUAUUUGGUCCAGGCUUAUGCACAGCACUUCAAUCCACUUGGAAAACUUCGGUACAACUGGGUUUAAGGUGCUUUCAAUAAUCUCUGAAAGAUCAUGAUGAGAGAAGAAGGUCUGGAGGAAAGCAAUCAUUCCUACUUUCAAGAAGAGAAAGGAAAGCAUCCAGGGCUGAUUGGAGUUAAUCACUGUGGUUUUAUAAAGAUGUGUGUAUGUGACAGUGAGGGUGGCCAACUCGACAAUUUUUGAAGUGACUCACAGUGGGCGCAGUUGGAACUUCUUUCCACUUCUUCCUCAACUGUGCCUGCUGCCCAGCUGUGCAUCUCAAAAGAAGAAGAGUUCCUCGACUUUUGCUCUCCUUCCUUCCAGCAGCUGGAGGGAAUGGGACAAAGAAGGUCAGACCUCAUCCUUGCUUCAAACCCCAGGAUUCUAAGAACCGUGUCUUAACAGGGUUUAAGAGCUAUAUAUAGUAUAGAUUUCUCUGUUUUCUUACAAAGCUACUUGAUGUACCACUUCUUCCAUGUGAAGAUGUGAACAUGGCAGAGGAGAAAAGCAGCAUCAAGUCCUAAUGGGGAAAUUUCAGUCCAUACCAUUUUAGCUACCUGCCCCCCUCUCCUACUUGGCUUGUGGUCAGCCAUGGUUAGCUCUAAAUCUCUCAUCUAUAAUCACUCAUAACAGCCACAGUUUUACACUUUUAGUUGUAUUAUAGCACUCCAUGUCCCUCUUGCUGCUGGCUUUUACUCCAGUCACCAGGAGCCACCCUUGUGGCAUUGGGACCCAGUAAUGUUCCUGUUGCUUUGGUGUCUUCCUCUCACUCUUGAGCUGAGGCAGGCCUGCAUCCCGUGGGAGGUCUUAAACUAAAAGACGAGAGAUUUAGAUUGGGGAAAUUUCUCACUGUGAGGGCAGUGAGGCCCUGGCACAGUCUGCCCAGUGAAGUUGUUGUGCCCCAUCCCUGGAGAUGCUCAAGGCCUCGAUGGAUGGAGCCUGGGCAGCUAGGCUGGUGAGUGGUAUCCCUGCCCAAGGCGUGGGCUUUGUGCUGGGUGGGCUUUGUGCUGGGUGGGCUUUGUGCUGGGUGGGCUUUGUGCUGGGUGGGCUUUUCCCUUUGAAUGCAAGCUGCACUGUGAUGAUUUGUGCUGUGGAUAGGGGCAUUCAGUGGGUUGGGGAAGGAGAACUGCUUCUGUGUGAGUGCAAAACUUUAGCUGGUAAACACUGUGCACGAUGGACGUGAAACUUUAGUGACAAUACUGCAGUUUGUUCUGAGUGCCUGCUUUUUAGGAGUAACCAAGUCCUUCAGAAUAAGGCAAGGGGCCACAAUUAAAGGCGGGGAAAAAUGUGUUUUGUUGCUCCAAUAUCGAAUUUUAACAAAAAUCGAGGUAUGGCUUUAAACCAGAGAUUGAUCCGUGUGGAAAAGCAUCUCGUGGAACAGACCUCGGCCAGUAGGAACCACACGAGAGAUCCUUCCCCGGGCAUCUCCCGUCGCGCUGAGGGGACACGGGGGCAGCGC